rnacentral:rRNA from 1 species
AUGUAGAUGCCUACAACAUAGCGUUAAUGCAUCAGAUCCCAUUAGAACUCCGUAGUUAAGAACGCUCAGGCUAGAUUAGUACUGGGAUGGGUGACUGCCGAGAAGUCCUAUUAUUUUACAUG